rnacentral:rRNA from 1 species
GGACGGGUGAGUAACACGUGGGCAACCUGCCUGUAAGACUGGGAUAACUUCGGGAAACCGGAGCUAAUACCGGAUACGUUCUUUUCUCGCAUGAGAGAAGAUGGAAAGAUGGUUUCGGCUAUCACUUACAGAUGGGCCCGCGGCGCAUUAGCUAGUUGGUGGGGUAAUGGCCCACCAAGGCGACGAUGCGUAGCCGACCUGAGAGGGUGAUCGGCCACACUGGGACUGAGACACGGCCCAGACUCCUACGGGAGGCAGCAGUAGGGAAUCUUCCGCAAUGGACGAAAGUCUGACGGAGCAACGCCGCGUGAACGAUGAAGGCUUUCGGGUCGUAAAGUUCUGUUGUUAGGGAAGAACAAGUACCAGAGUAACUGCUGGUACCUUGACGGUACCUAACCAGAAAGCCACGGCUAACUACGUGCCAGCAGCCGCGGUAAUACGUAGGUGGCAAGCGUUGUCCGGAAUUAUUGGGCGUAAAGCGCGCGCAGGUGGUUCUUUAAGUCUGAUGUGAAAGCCCACGGCUCAACCGUGGAGGGUCAUUGGAAACUGGGGAACUUGAGUGCAGAAGAGGAAAGUGGAAUUCCACGUGUAGCGGUGAAAUGCGUAGAGAUGUGGAGGAACACCAGUGGCGAAGGCGACUUUCUGGUCUGUAACUGACACUGAGGCGCGAAAGCGUGGGGAGCGAACAGGAUUAGAUACCCUGGUAGUCCACGCCGUAAACGAUGAGUGCUAAGUGUUAGAGGGUUUCCGCCCUUUAGUGCUGCAGCUAACGCAUUAAGCACUCCGCCUGGGGAGUACSGCCGCAAGGCUGAAACUCAAAGGAAUUGACGGGGGCCCGCACAAGCGGUGGAGCAUGUGGUUUAAUUCGAAGCAACGCGAAGAACCUUACCAGGUCUUGACAUCCUUUGACAACCCUAGAGAUAGGGCUUUCCCCUUCGGGGGACAGAGUGACAGGUGGUGCAUGGUUGUCGUCAGCUCGUGUCGUGAGAUGUUGGGUUAAGUCCCGCAACGAGCGCAACCCUUGAUUUUAGUUGCCAGCAUUCAGUUGGGCACUCUAAGGUGACUGCCGGUGACAAACCGGAGGAAGGUGGGGAUGACGUCAAAUCAUCAUGCCCCUUAUGACCUGGGCUACACACGUGCUACAAUGGAUGGUACAAAGAGCCCGCAAACCCGCGAGGGUAAGCUAAUCUCAUAAAGCCAUUCUCAGUUCGGAUUGCAGGCUGCAACUCGCCUGCAUGAAGCCGGAAUCGCUAGUAAUCGCGGAUCAGCAUGCCGCGGUGAAUACGUUCCCGGGCCUUGUACACACCGCCCGUCACACCACGAGAGUUUGUAACACCCGAAGUCGGUGAGGUAACCUUUGGAGCCAGCCGCCUAA